AAAGAUACUGGUAGAAUUCGUUUCAUUCAGAUGAGAACCUCUUACCAACAGCUUCGAAUUCUCUCUCCGACAACUUUCCAAUUGACAAAGGAUAUUUUGAAAUUGUCAAUCAACAUUGUUCAACAAUGACCAAUACAAUAUACGUUUUCGUUAUGAUUGCACUGAUAUCCGUUACAGUUCUCUUCCUGCACAUGGUUGUAAUAUCUGAGACGGGUCCAGUAGGCCCUCCUGGAAACUUCAAUGGACCUGACAAUAUUGACGAAGGGCAGAUAAACUUCGAUGAUUAAAAGACAUCAAUUAUCCUGGAUAUGAUGACUAAUAUAAAUAUACUUUAUGCAGAGAAUUUUUCAAAUGACUUGUGGGCGAAAUAUUGAUUUUAUAGUAGAUUCCCACACUGUACUGGACUAUAUAUGUAUUCGGUUUUGGCAUAUCCAACCCUUUUUCGUCAUUCAUAUUAUUUUUGAUUUUGCUGAUUUUUAUGCUAAACAACAAGUGAGACGCGCUCAAAUAUAUGAAUACAAAGGCCAAACGAAGUAGUAUUAAUCUUUUACAGUACCAGUAGUUUGAUUACAUGGUCAGUGGAACCUUUUUUAGGUGACGGGCCGAUAAAGCCUGACCAAAAUUUUGGCUGAACACAUAUAUACAAACGAACUUGGAUACAGUUAUAAGCAUAUGUAAUAAAUAUUACGAGUUACAAAAUUUAUUUGGCAUAUUCGAAAAUAUAUUAGAAAACAAAAGUGAUGCUAUUUAAUCGAGAUCUGCAUUUGUUUGCUGCCCAUUUACUGUUCCCAAUUAGGAGACAUUGUCGACAGAAUACACGUAACAUGUUGCUCACAUCCAUCCUAUUUCGGUAUUUCGUCGUUGACAAGACCAUCUCAUCGUGCGAAGAAGUUUCUAUAGAUUCAUUGCCUCAUUUGAGAGCUUAGUAUGACAACGGUUGGGAAACUGGACAAAUUUCGUUACUGUCACGUACGGUUACAAAUCCAACAGCCACGUUGUUAGCAAGAAUCAUUUUGUUUGAGAAAUCCUAUUUGGACUGAUAUAAAACUUUCUCACGCAGAGGCAAAAUUGAUGCAGCAAUAUUGCGACACAUUAAACUUUCACUAAAAUUAGGUUAUGUCACAGUGAAACUGGUAAACCAAAGCCAAAAUUUUCUCCCGUGUAAAAUGCAUUACGGCUCUAGUUGUUUUCCUGACUCAGCUCACUGAGCAUAUAUACAAUGAGUGGAAACUUCCAAAUAUUUGCUCAUUAAUCCAUUGUCCCCAGCAUUUUUACGUCGUCCAGCUAAAUGGUUCGUU